rnacentral:snRNA from 1 species
GGAUGUGAGGGUGAUCUGACAUCAGUCACCCCAUUGGUCACCAAGGUUGAUUUGGCUGAUCUGGCUGGCUCAACAGGUGUCCCCUUCCUGAACACUACAUGUGUGUCCUUCCCAAAGCUGCACACUUGGUUGGUCGAAGAGGACAACCUUCCCCAAAUAGAGGUGGACCAGUCUUUAGUCAAGGGUAUAUGCCUGUGCUUCCCUGUUAGAACUUCCAAACAAGCUCUCAAUUAAUAAAUAGUAUGGGCCUGGAAAGAUGGCUUACCAGUUAAGGUGCUUACCUACAAAACCUAAAGACACAGUGCCCAUGUAAGCCAGGUGGCUAUCUGU